CAGGAGGUGCAUGAAGAACAACUGAAUGAGGAAGAAAGAUAGAGAAGAGAGACACAUAAAGCAACACUAUUGUGCAUAUGUGCACAAGUCGAUCUGAUUGGUUAAAAGCCUAAGCUCACCAUGAUAUCUGCUUCCCGUGUGGCGUAACGUAGAUUGGGAUCCAGCCAAUACAACAGUGUCUUCACCUGAUCCAGGUUCAGGAAGAUGAGGAACACCAGGAAGAGGAAGUAAAGGACACUAAGACC